GGCUGCGAUCAUACCAGCACUAAUGCACCGGAUCCCAUCAGAACUCCGAAGUUAAGCGUGCUUGGGCGAGAGUAGUACUAAGAUGGGUGACCUCUUGGGAAGUCCUCGUGUUGCACCCC
rnacentral:rRNA from 1 species